ACGCUCGACACCUACGGGAGGUAGCAGUGGGGAAGUAUUGCACAAUGGGGGAAACCCGUGAUGCAGCGACGCCGCGUGAGCGAAGAAGUAUUUCGGUAUGUAAAGCUCUAUCAGCAGGGAAGAAACUGACGGUACCUGACUAAGAAGCACCGGCUAAAUACGUGCCAGCAGCCGGGUAAUCUGAGCGGGCUGGCAAGGC
rnacentral:rRNA from 1 species